AUUGAACGCUGGCGGCAUGCUUUACACAUGCAAGUCGAACGCGGUUGAGGGGUAACUCUUGACUGAGUGGCGAACGGGUGAGUAAUACAUCGGAACGUACCUCGUUGUGGGGGAUAACCCACCGAAAGGUGGGCUAAUACCGCAUACGCCCCGAGGGGGAAAGCGGGGGACCUGAGAGGGCCUCGCGCGAUGGGAGCGGCCGAUGUCGGAUUAGCUAGUUGGUGGGGUAAAGGCCUACCAAGGCGACGAUCCGUAGCUGGUCUGAGAGGAUGAUCAGCCACACUGGGACUGAGACACGGCCCAGACUCCUACGGGAGGCAGCAGUGAGGAAUAUUGCGCAAUGGGCGAAAGCCUGACGCAGCGACGCCGCGUGGGGGAUGAAGGUUUUCGGAUUGUAAACCCCUUUCAUGAGGAAGAUAAAGUGGGUAACCACUUAGACGGUACCUCAAGAAGAAGCCACGGCUAACUUCGUG
rnacentral:rRNA from 1 species